UACGGAGGGAGCUAGCGUUGUUCGGAAUUACUGGGCGUAAAGCGCACGUAGGCGGCGAUUCAAGUCAGAGGUGAAAGCCCGGGGCUCAACCCCGGAACUGCCUUUGAAACUAGGUUGCUAGAAUCUUGGAGAGGCGAGUGGAAUUCCGAGUGUAGAGGUGAAAUUCGUAGAUAUUCGGAAGAAACACCAGUGGCGAAGGCGACUCGCUGGACAAGUAUUGACGCUGAGGUGCGAAAGCGUGGGGAGCAAACAGGAUUAGAAAACCCCGG
rnacentral:rRNA from 1 species